GGGAUUCUGGACUUUCUUCGUGUCCUCACCUUUUCUUUUCUUUUUUUUUAUUUAUUCAUUAUUGUUUCUUUUUUUAGCCAGAACCUUUAAAUCCCAAUGGUUGAACGUUUAGAGUUUUCAAAUGGUCAUUAACUAUGGUUUAUUGGUAUUAGUUUUAGUUAAAUGCUAUUUAGUGUUCCCAAUUCUUAACCUUUUGAACCCAACAGCAAGGCGGCUAGGGUCAUCUUUUGG
rnacentral:lncRNA from 1 species